AGACUGCACCAGCUGCAUCUGGGAGUAGGCAUCUGUGGAGGGGACACAGGAGUGGAUAAAAGCCACCUUGACUGGACUCAAUCCCCUCCUCAUCACUGGGACUUGGGAGCCCCUUACCUGUGACUGCUGCCACCAAGAAGAGGAUUCUCCAGGUCCAGUCCAUGGCAGCUCCACAGCAGGGUGUUCUCAGAAUUCUCCCUGAUCUUCCUUGAGUUCCUGGUGCAGCUCCUGGAGGAAAAGCCUGCAUGGGAGAGGGAGCCCUCCUCAUGUGCAGCCCUGAGGCUGUCCCAUCACCUCACCCGCCACUGCCCUUCAGUCACUUGAUAAACAUUUCUGAGCUAAUCUUCCUGAAACGUUUGGUUUUGCACAGUAUGUUCACCAGGUUACAAAAUACUUAAGCUCUGUCUAUUUCCACAGACACGUAUUCCUUUCUGGAGCAAAGGUUGGUCUUGAGUGUGUGGUAGUGGAUAAUUAGUGAGAGGAGGUUUGUGUGCAUCUUGUCAUCUCCCAGAGUGUAUCCACCAUGGAGUUGACACCCACAAGCAAGCAGAUGGACUUGCUCACUGGAGGAUGACAAACAUUUUCAUAACCUAUGACCUCAGUGGUGCUCUUUCCCUGCAAGACCAAUUAUGGUCACGCCUCUGGCUAAUGUGCAGUCAGCAAGGACGACCACUGCCCACCUCUGAGGGCUCCCUCCAGAUGCCCACCCACUUUGUAAAGGGAAGCUUUUGUUCCUGCCUGGAUCCCAUGCAUGUGUUUGCAUUUGCUGCACAAACUGCCUUAUUCAGAACCACCACCCAAGAGCUCACAGUGUGUCUAAUCCAACUCUAGGGCAUUAUACAAGGAGUCUCUUAUUGUCACGUUUGCCAAGUCUCAUUAAAGGAUUUUCAUUAUGGGAUUGACCAGAACUUGCUGGCCUUUUAGAGAUGUGAAUCUGCCUGAAAUGUUGCAGAAUCUGGAGGACCAGAGAGAGAUCUUGGGGUGUAUACAGGAGGAUAUUUUUAUUACUGAGUACACCCAGACCCAGCAGACUCAAUGACCAAAGACUGGGCACAGAACAAAGAGAGCGCUUGACUUUUAUACACACUUCCCAAAAUGGGGUGGGCUAGCUUGAAGCAAGCUUAGAGUGCACAAAAGCAGGGAUACGGAGGCAGGACAGAGACAGUUAAUCAAAUUGUAACAGGUUCAUAACUCAGGAUUACACAUGACCAUUGCUAUGCAACCCAGAUGUCUGUUAUCUAGGUUUUGUUCUAAAGAGCCUUGCACUGGUUGAUCUCAUAACACUCACUCCGGUACCUAGACAGCUGUAGUUCUGGCCUGCUCAGGCUUCUCAUGACCUUCGUUGUGCUUCUUAGAUAAAACAGAAUACUUGAAGUUACUAGUUACAGAGAACAAGAAUCUAUAAACUCAUAUCAUAAGACAAAGGAAAAUUUGUUUUUCUUCUCCCUAUGUUGAGGGAGUGCUGAAAGAGUCUCCAGAGCACAUUAGAUAAUAUUAUUAAGACUUUUCCUGGGUCUGGGCUGUGCUUGUUGCUGCCGCUGGGAUAAGUCAGCCUAAUACAGGAAAGCUUAUUUCUCUUUUUUAAAAAUUUUUUUUUCCAGCCUCACUAAAAGCUUAAAAAUCUUACUCUCUGGGAAGGGACAUUGUAAACCAGAAGUAAGAAAAACUCCAAAUUAACAUAUAUUUUGUGGAUUUUGGAAGAAAGUGCUCAAAUAGUAAUAGCCUCACUCACUUUCCCUCUGACUAAUAUCACUUCUAGAAAGCCAUUGAAAAUACCUGGGUGUUCCAAGAUAAUUUAGGCUUGUUAUAUUAGGGGAUCACCAGAAAAAGAAAGAACCAAGAGUUCUUGUAGAUUCAUCCAUUGUGACUUAUUUGUGACUGUGGGGCAGGAUGGCUGUAGUGGAGGAGGCGGUGUCCGUGCGGGGCAGGGAUUCAUGGGAAUUCUCACACCUUCUGUGCAAUUUCACUGUAAUCCUAAAACCUCUAAAAUGAACUUUAUGGUAAGAAGUGACAGAAACAUUUGAAAGACAAUUUUCCCACUUUGUAAGAAUCAUGCUUACUCUUAACAUAUGACCAAAUAACCUUGCUCCAAAUGAUUUAUUCAUCUAAUUCAAAAACUUGUUCAUAGUAGCACCUUUAUGGUAUGUUUGUAUCAACUUUACUGAGUGUGGCCUUUCCCACUCUGUCAGUUUGGCUUAUGUGGUGGCUCUUGAAUGGAAUAUUUCUCUUACAAUUCGAUUGUGUUUCUAUUGUUCUUUGUUCUCAAAUAUAUAACCCGUUUUCUAAACAGUCUUAAACUGAAUAACCCCUGUCAUUUUCUCAGCUCAGCACAGCUGACUCCUCCCUCAGGGUUUCUGACACUCUGAGGAUGUGGUUUCUCACACUGUGUCUCUCGCACAGUAAUACACGGCCGUGUCCUCAGAUCUCAGGCUGCUCAGCUCCAUGUAGACUGUGCUCGUGGACGUGUCCCUGG
rnacentral:lncRNA from 1 species